CCAUCCUCCUGCCUCAACCUCCAAGUAGCUGGGACUACAGGCACGCACCAUCACACUCAGCUAAUUUUUUUUUUCUUUGUAGUUUUUUUUUGUAGAGAUGAGGUCUCACCAUAUUGCCUAGGCUAGUCUCAAAUUGCUGGGCUCAAGACAGUCACAUAGGGCAGGUUACCCAGGUCAGUCUUCAUUCCACUGCAGUCAGAAGUGAAUGAAGAUUAAGGAAGCAGAGACAAGGAGUAUGAACAAUUCUUUCUGGAAGAAUGAUGGGGAAAGAAGAGAAAGGAUUGAUAAAGUAUAGCCAGAGAAUGGAUGGUUCAGAAUCUUUUUUUUUUUUGAGAUGGAGUCUCGCUCUGUCACCUAGGCUGGAGUGCGGUGGCAUGAUCUCGGCUCACUGCAAGCUCCGCCUCCUGGGUUCACGCCAUUCUCCUGCCUCA
rnacentral:lncRNA from 1 species